GACGAACGCUGGCGGCGUGCUUAACACAUGCAAGUCGAACGAAGUGGCGAACGGGUGAGUAACGCGUAAUCAACUUGCCCUUCAGAGGGGGACAACAGUUGGAAACGACUGCUAAUACCCCAUACUGAAGGAGGGUAUUGCGUCUGAUUGGCUCGUUGGAGGGGUAACGGCCCACCAAGGCGAUGAUCAGUAGCCGGUCUGGGAGGAUGAACGGCCACAUUGGGACCGAGACACGGCCCAGACUCCUAAGGGAGGCAGCAGUGGGGAAUCUUCCGCAAUGGACGAAAGUCUGACGGAGCAACGCCGCGUGGGUGAUGACGGCCUUCGGGUUGUAAAGCUCUGUUAAUCGGGACGCGGUACCGGAAUAGAAAGCCACGGCUAACUACGUGCCAGCAGCCGCGGUAAUAC
rnacentral:rRNA from 1 species